UGGGGAAUUUUGGACAAUGGGCGCAAGCCUGAUCCAGCCAUGCCGCGUGCAGGAUGAAGGCCUUCGGGUUGUAAACUGCUUUUGUACGGAACGAAAAGACUCCUUCUAAUAAAGGGGGUCCAUGACGGUACCGUAAGAAUAAGCACCGGCUAACUACGUGCCAGCAGCCGCGGUAAUACGUAGGGUGCGAGCGUUAAUCGGAAUUACUGGGCGUAAAGCGUGCGCAGGCGGUUAUAUAAGACAGGUGUGAAAUCCCCGGGCUCAACCUGGGAACUGCCUUUGUGACUGCAUAGCUAGAGUACGGUAGAGGGGGAUGGAAUUCCGCGUGUAGCAGUGAAAUGCGUAGAUAUGCGGAGGAACACCGAUGGCGAAGGCAAUCCCCUGGACCUGUACUGACGCUCAUGCACGAAAGCGUGGGGAGCAAACA
rnacentral:rRNA from 1 species